rnacentral:misc_RNA from 1 species
GAUGAAGAACGUAGUGAAAUGCGAUAAGUAGUGUGAAUUGCAGAAUUCAGUGAAUCAUCGAAUCUUUGAACGCACAUUGCGCCCGCCAGUAUUCUGGCGGGCAUGCCUGUCUGAGCGUCAUUUCAACCCUCAUGCCCCUAGGGCGUGGUGUUGGGGAUCGGCCAAAGCCCGCGAGGGACGGCCGGCCCCUAAAUCUAGUGGCGGACCCGUCGUGGCCUCCUCUGCGAAGUAGUGAUAUUCCGCAUCGGAGAGCGACGAGCCCCUGCCGUUAAACCCCCAACUUUCCAAGGUUGACCUCAGAUCAGGUAGGAAUACCCGCUGAACUUAAGCAUAUCAAUAAGCGGAGGA